rnacentral:rRNA from 1 species
ACGGGUGAGUAAUACGUAGGAAUCUGUCUGAUAGAGGGGGAAAACCUGGGGAAACCUGGGCUAAUACCGCAUACACUCGAGAGAGUAAAGCAGGGGACCUUCGGGCCUUGCGCUAUCAGGUGAGCCUACGUCGGAUUAGCUAGUUGGUGGGGUAAAGGCCUACCAAGGCGAUGAUCUGUAGCUGGUCUGAGAGGACGGACAGCCACACUGGGACUGAGACACGGCCCAGACUCCUACGGGAGGCAGCAGUGGGGAAUAUUGGACAAUGGGGGCAACCCUGAUCCAGCGAUGCCGCGUGUGUGAAGAAGGCCUGCGGGUUGCAAAGCACUUUCAGUUGGGAAGAUAGUUUGUGGGCGAAUAACUUGCAAAUGAGACGUUACUAACAAAAGAAGCACCGGCUAACUCUGUGCCAGCAGCCGCGGUAAUACAGAGGGUGCGAGCGUUAAUCGGAAUGACUGGGCGUAAAGGGCAUGUAGGCGGUUAUGUUAGUCUGAUGUGAAAUACCCGGGCUUAACCUGGGAUAUGCAUUGGAAACGGCAUAGCUAGAGUAUGGGAGAGGGAAGUGGAAUUUCCGGUGUAGCGGUGAAAUG